rnacentral:rRNA from 1 species
CCCUUAGAUGUUCUGGGCCGCACGCGCGCUACACUGAUGAAUUCAACGAGUUUUCCACCUUGACCGAGAGGUCCGGGAAAUCUUUUCAACUUUCAUCGUGCUGGGGAUAGAUUAUUGCAAUUGUUAAUCUUGAACGAGGAAUUCCUAGUAAGCGCGAGUCAUCAGCUCGCGUUGAUUACGUCCCUGCCCUUUGUACACACCGCCCGUCGCUACUACCGAUUGAAUGAUUUAGUGAGGACUUCGGACUGGGACCGAUGCGGCUUUCGGGCUGCGUCGGUAUUCUGGAAAGAUGUCCAAACUGUAUCAUUUAGAGGAAGUAAAAGUCGUAACA